rnacentral:rRNA from 1 species
GAUGAACGCUGGAGCGUGCUUAACACAUGCAAGUCGAACGAGAAGUGGAGACGGAAACCUUCGGGCGGAAGACUUUAUUUCGAGUGGCGGACGGGUGAGUAACGCGUGGGUAACCUGCCUCAUACAGGGGGAUAACAGUUGGAAACGACUGUUAAUACCGCAUAAGACCACAGCACCGCAUGGUGCGGGGGUAAAAACUCCGGUGGUAUGAGAUGGACCCGCGUUCGAUUAGCCAGUUGGCGGGGUAACGGCCCACCAAAGCGACGAUCGAUAGCCGAUCUGAGAGGAUGACCGGCCACAUUGGGACUGAGACGCGGCCCAAACUCCUACGGGAGGCAGCAGUGGGGAAUAUUGCACAAUGGGGGAAACCCUGAUGCAGCGACGCCGCGUGAGUGAAGAAGUAUUUCGGUAUGUAAAGCUCUAUCAGAAGGGAAGAAAAUGACGGUACCUGAGUAAGAAGCCCCGGCUAACUACGUG